rnacentral:rRNA from 1 species
AAAUUGAAGAGUUUGAUCAUGGCUCAGAUUGAACGCUGGCGGCAGGCCUAACACAUGCAAGUCGAACGGUAACAGAAAGCAGCUUGCUGCUUUGCUGACGAGUGGCGGACGGGUGAGUAAUGUCUGGGAAACUGCCUGAUGGAGGGGGAUAACUACUGGAAACGGUAGCUAAUACCGCAUAAUGUCGCAAGACCAAAGAGGGGGACCUUCGGGCCUCUUGCCAUCGGAUGUGCCCAGAUGGGAUUAGCUUGUUGGUGGGGUAACGGCUCACCAAGGCGACGAUCCCUAGCUGGUCUGAGAGGAUGACCAG